rnacentral:rRNA from 1 species
ACGGCGGCCGUAACUAUGACGGUCCUAAGGUAGCGAAGUUCCUUGUCGGGUAAGUUCCGACCUGCAUGAAUGGCGUAACGACUGAAGCACUGUCUCAACCAGUGACCCGGUGAAAUUGUAGUCGUGGUGAAGAUGCCACGUACCCGCGGCGAGACGGAAAGACCCCGUGAACCUUUACUGUAGGCUGAUAUUGGGUUGAGGUACAUCUUGUGUAGGAUAGGUGGGAGGCUAUGAAGUGGCUACGCCAGUAGUCAUGGAGCCAACGUUGAAAUACCACCCUGGAUAUGCUUUAAUUCUAACCCCGAUUCCUGUGAAUCCAGGCGGGGAACAGUGUCAGUUGGGCAGUUUGACUGGGGCGGUCUCCUCCGAAAGAGUAACGGAGGAGUUCUAAGGUACCCUCAGCCUGGUUGGCAAUCAGGCUUCGAGCGCAUAGGUAGAAGGGUGCUUAACUGCGAGACCCAUAAGUCGAGCAGGUGCGAAAGCAGGACUAAGUGAUCCGGCGGUGCUGGAUGGAAAGGCCGUCGCUCAUCAGACAAAAGGUACUCUGGGGAUAACAGGCUUAUCGCUUCCGAGCGUCCAUAGCGGCGAAGCGGUUUGGCACCUCGAUGUCGGCUCGUCACAUCCUGGGGGUGAAGAAGCUCCCAAGGGUUCGGCUGUUCGCCGAUGAAAGUGGCACGUGAGCUGGGUUCAGACCGUCGUGAGACAGGUCGGUCCCUAUCUACCGUGGGCGUACGAAACUUGAGGGGAAUCUUCUUUAGUACGAGAGGAUUUGGAAGGACGUUCCUCUGGUGUUCCAGUUGUCACGCUAGUGGCACGGCUGGGUAGCUAUGAACGGAAUGGAUAAACGCUGAAAGCAUAUAAGCGUGAAGCCGGCCCCGAGAUUAGGUUUCGUUGGAGCAAUCCGAAAGUCCCCUGAAAGACGAUCAGGUUGAUAGGCUGGAUGUGUAAGCGCAGUAAUGCGUUUAGCUAACCGGUACUAAUGGACGAAUGCUUGGCCAC